UGAUGAACACCAAGAGGCUGUGAUUCAAGAUCGAACUAAAAGUGGUGAUGGAGGGUCUGCUCAAUCUACUACUUGCAAGGUGGAUCUGCAAGCCCCUGGGUGGACUUAGAGAGUAAGAGUCGGGAAUCAGCCAACGGAUAGAGCCCCAUGCCCAGAAAGAUUAGAUGCGCUGGAGGAGACAAUUCGAGGGCAUGCAGAUAAAUUGGGGGACCAUGUAGUUGAGCCUGCUAUUGGCUUAACAUUCGACUCCUUGGGUGAAGCAUAUGAUUUUUGCAACCUUUAUUCGUGGGAGCAUGGUUUUGGUAUCAGGACACCCUGUCCCAGCGGGCUCGGCACACUCUCCGCUCCGCUGAAAUUACAGGACACCCUGUCCCAGCAGGCUCGACACUCUCCGCUCCGCUGAAAUUACAGGACCAGGCACUAUGUCUGGGAAGAAUUGGUGCACUGGAGCAAAUGAUUUAGGGGUAUACAGAUUAGUUGGGUGAGCACGGUGCUAUUGGGCUAACACUAGACUCUAUGUAAGAAACCUAUGGUUUUUACAAUAUUUAUUCAUGGAA